CUUUUUUGUGUUAUAUUUUUUAUUUUAUUUUUUGUAAAAUGUUUAUUUUUUUUUUAUUUGUUGGGAAAUAUUAAAAAUUUGAUUUUUGAACUGGAUUAGUACCCAGGUAAGCAAAAUUUAUUAAUGCGGGAGUAAAGUUUUUUUUAAACCGAAAUAAUAUUGACUGAUCUUGGAUUUUUUUUUGGAACAUGUGUUUGGAGAGCCCUCCUUAAAUUUAUUUUUUUUGGUUCAUGUAUGAUUGUCUAGUUUUUAUGUUAUUUGUAAUGCUUUUUGGGGGUUUAAAGGCAAAUAGAUACUUGGCUUAUAAAAUAAUUUUUUCAUGUGUUACUAUUAUUAAUUUUUUUCGGAUAAAUUUUUAAUUUAAUUAUUUUGAAGUUGGAAAAAACAGUAAUUUUUUCUAAAUGUUGUAAUGAAUUU
rnacentral:rRNA from 1 species